rnacentral:rRNA from 1 species
GACGAACGCUGGCGGCGUGCUUAACACAUGCAAGUCGAGCGGAAAGGCCUCUUCGGGGGUACUCGAGCGGCGAACGGGUGAGUAACACGUGAGUAACCUGCCCUCAACUUCGGGAUAAGCCUGGGAAACUGGGUCUAAUACCGGAUAUGACUACUUCGGGCAUCCGAUGGUGGUGGAAAGUUUUUCGGUUGGGGAUGGGCUCGCGGCCUAUCAGCUUGUUGGUGGGGUAGUGGCCUACCAAGGCGACGACGGGUAGCCGGCCUGAGAGGCGACCGGCCACACUGGGACUGAGACACGGCCCAGACUCCUACGGGAGGCAGCAGUGGGGAAUAUUGCGCAAUGGACGAAAGUCUGACGCAGCGACGCCGCGUGGGGGAUGACGGCCU